rnacentral:rRNA from 1 species
GAUGAACGCUAGCUACAGGCUUAACACAUGCAAGUCGAGGGGAAACGAUGAGAGAGCUUGCUCUCUUAGUCGUCGACCGGCGCACGGGUGAGUAACGCGUAUCCAACCUGCCUCUGACCAAGGGAUAACCCGUCGAAAGUCGGACUAAUACCUUAUGCAGUCGUCGGAAGUCAUCUGAUGACGACGAAAGAUUUCAUCGGUGAGAGAUGGGGAUGCGUCUGAUUAGCUUGUUGGCGGGGUAACGGCCCACCAAGGCGACGAUCAGUAGGGGUUCUGAGAGGAAGGUCCCCCACAUUGGAACUGAGACACGGUCCAAACUCCUACGGGAGGCAGCAGUGAGGAAUAUUGGUCAAUGGGCGUAAGCCUGAACCAGCCAAGUAGCGUGCAGGAUGACGGCCCUAGGGGUUGUAAACUGCUUUUAUGCGGGGAUAAAGUGAGGGACGUGUCCUUCAUUGCAGGUACCGCAUGAAUAAGGACCGGCUAAUUCCGUG